rnacentral:rRNA from 1 species
UGGGGAAUUUUGGACAAUGGGGGAAACCCUGAUCCAGCCAUCCCGCGUGUGCGAUGAAGGCCUUCGGGUUGUAAAGCACUUUUGGCAGGAAAGAAACGUCGCGGGUUAAUACCCCGCGAAACUGACGGUACCUGCAGAAUAAGCACCGGCUAACUACGUGCCAGCAGCCGCGGUAAUACGUAGGGUGCAAGCGUUAAUCGGAAUUACUGGGCGUAAAGCGUGCGCAGGCGGUUCGGAAAGAAAGAUGUGAGAUCCCAGAGCUUAACUUUGGAACUGCAUUUUUAACUACCGGGCUAGAGUGUGUCAGAGGGAGGUGGAAUUCCGCGUGUAGCAGUGAAAUGCGUAGAUAUGCGGAGGAACACCGAUGGCGAAGGCAGCCUCCUGGGAUAACACUGACGCUCAUGCACGAAAGCGUGGGGAGCAAACAGGAUUAGAUACCCUGGUAGUCCACGCCCUAAACGAUGUCAACUAGCUGUUGGGGCCUUCGGGCCUUGGUAGCGCAGCUAACGCGUGAAGUUGACCGCCUGGGGAGUACGGUCGCAAGAUU